rnacentral:rRNA from 1 species
UACGUAGGGGGCGAGCGUUGUCCGGAUUUAUUGGGCGUAAAGCGUCCGCAGGUGGUCAACCAAGUUUGGGGUGACAGUUCCCGGCUCAACUGGGAAAGUGCUUCGAAAACUGGCUGACUUGAGGGCUUGAGAGGAAAGCGGAAUUCCGGGUGGAGUGGUGAAAUGCGUAGAUAUCCGGAGGAACACCAAUGGCGUAGGCAGCUUUCUGGCAAGUACCUGACACUCAUGGACGAAAGCUAGGGGAGCAAACAG